ACCAGCCGCCUGAUGACGCAACAC
rnacentral:siRNA from 1 species